UACCCGCGGCCCGAGUGGUGCUCAUUAUUAUUGAGUCUAAAACGUCCGUAGCCGGCCUGGUAGAUGCCUGGGUAAAUCGGGGCGCUUAACGUUCCGAAUUCCGGGUAGACCGCCAGGCUAGGGACCGGGAGAGGCUGGAGGUACUCCGGGGGUAGGGGUAAAAUCCUGUAAUCCUCGGAGGACCACCAGUGGCGAAGGCGUCCAGCUAGAACGGAUCCGACGGUCAGGGACGAAGCCCAGGGGCGCAAACGGG
rnacentral:rRNA from 1 species